UACGGAGGGAGCUAGCGUUGUUCGGAAUUACUGGGCGUAAAGCGCGCGUAGGCGGUUUUUUAAGUCAGAGGUGAAAGCCCAGUGCUCAACACUGGAACUGCCUUUGAAACUGGAAAACUUGAAUCUUGGAGAGGUCAGUGGAAUUCCGAGUGUAGAGGUGAAAUUCGUAGAUAUUCGGAAGAACACCAGUGGCGAAGGCGACUGACUGGACAAGUAUUGACGCUGAGGUGCGAAAGCGUGGGGAGCAAACAGG
rnacentral:ncRNA from 3 species